ensembl:rRNA 5S_rRNA 5S ribosomal RNA
UCCUGCGCUGAAAACCCUCUCAGAAGAGACUGGUUGCCCAAUGAAGCUAAGCAGGGCUAAGCCUGUCAGUACCUGGAUGUGAGACAUCAUGUGAAAACUAGGUUGCUGCUGGAA